rnacentral:rRNA from 1 species
AGAGUUUGAUCAUGGCUCAGAACGAACGCUGGCGGCGUGUCUUAAGCAUGCAAGUCGAGCGGCAAGGGGGAGCAAUCCCCCCUAGAGCGGCGGACUGGUGAGUAACACGUGGGUGACCUGCCUUUGUCAUGGGGAUAGCCAUUAGAAAUAGUGGGUAAUACCGAAUACGCUUGUGCACGUGAGGUGUACAAGGAAAGGCGCUACGGCGCCGGACGAAGAUGGGCCCGCGUCCCAUUAGCUAGUUGGUGAGGUAACGGCCCACCAAGGCGAUGAUGGGUAGCCGGCCUGAGAGGGUGUACGGCCACACUGGGACUGAGAUACGGCCCAGACUCCUACGGGAGGCAGCAGCUAAGAAUAUUCCGCAAUGGACGAAAGUCUGACGGAGCGACGCCGCGUGGAUGACGAAGGCCGAAAGGUUGUAAAAUCCUUUUGCUGGGGAAGAAUAAGUCUGGGAGGGAAUGCCCGGAUGAUGACAUGAACCGGCGAAUAAGCCCCGGCUAACUACGUGCCAGCAGCCGCGGUAACACGUAGGGGGCGAGCGUUGUUCGGAAUUACUGGGCGUAAAGGGCAUGUAGGCGGCCUUGUAAGCCUGGCGUGAAAUUCCACGGCUCAACCGUGGGAAUGCGUCGGGAACUGCGAGGCUUGAGUGACGGAGAGGGAGCUAGAAUUCCUGGUGUAGGGGUGAAAUCUGUAGAUAUCAGGAAGGAUACCAAUGGCGAAGGCAAGCUCCUGGCCGAUGACUGACGCUGAGGUGCGAAAGUGUGGGGAUCAAACAGGAUUAGAUACCCUGGUAGUCC